rnacentral:rRNA from 1 species
GACGAACGCUGGCGGCGUGCCUAAUACAUGCAAGUAGAACGCUGAAGGAGGAGCUUGCUUCUCUGGAUGAGUUGCGAACGGGUGAGUAACGCGUAGGUAACCUGCCUGGUAGCGGGGGAUAACUAUUGGAAACGAUAGCUAAUACCGCAUAAUAGCAGUUGUUGCAUGACAACUGUUUGAAAGGUGCAAUUGCACCACUGCCAGAUGGACCUGCGUUGUAUUAGCUAGUUGGUGGGGUAACGGCUCACCAAGGCGACGAUACAUAGCCGACCUGAGAGGGGGAUCGGCCACACUGGGACUGAGACACGGCCCAGACUCCUACGGGAGGCAGCAGUAGGGAAUCUUCGGCAAUGGACGGAAGUCUGACCGAGCAACGCCGCGUGAGUGAAGAAGGUUUUCGGAUCGUAAAGCUCUGUUGUAAGAGAAGAACGAGUGUGAGAGUGGAAAGUUCACACUGUGACGGUAUCUUACCAGAAAGGGACGGCUAACUACGUG